rnacentral:rRNA from 1 species
GACGAACGCUGGCGGCGUGCUUAACACAUGCAAGUCGAACGGAAAGGCCCUGCUUUUGUGGGGUGCUCGAGUGGCGAACGGGUGAGUAACACGUGAGUAACCUGCCCUUGACUUUGGGAUAACUUCAGGAAACUGGGGCUAAUACCGGAUAGGAGCUCCUGCUGCAUGGUGGGGGUUGGAAAGUUUCGGCGGUUGGGGAUGGACUCGCGGCUUAUCAGCUUGUUGGUGGGGUAGUGGCUUACCAAGGCUUUGACGGGUAGCCGGCCUGAGAGGGUGACCGGCCACAUUGGGACUGAGAUACGGCCCAGACUCCUACGGGAGGCAGCAGUGGGGAAUAUUGCAAAAUGGGCGGAAGCCUGAUGCAGCAACGCAGCGUGCGGGAUGACGGCCUUCGGGUUGUAAACCGCUUUCGCCUGUGACGAAGCGUGAGUGACGGUAAUGGGUAAAGAAGCACCGGCUAACUACGUG